rnacentral:lncRNA from 7 species
AAGGAUAAAACCUGCCUAUAGAUGUUAUUUCACUGGGAAACCCUCACUUUAUAGACAGGGAGUUGAGAAGCACAGGAUCAUUGCAUGAUGGUUGUUAAAUACGUAAACUUGAGUAGGCCAGAAAUGGUUCCCAAAACAAGUAUACCAACCAAAGCCUGUUUUUCAAGUACAGAGAUAUGUUAUACUACUUCACUCUGAUUUUAGAUGAAAAUGUCAAAACAAGGAUGUUCUGGUGUUGGAACAUUAUGCAAACUGCUGCUCCUUCUGUGCUUAUGUCAUUUUUCAGUUCCAGCUUGAAAUUUUGGAACUACGCAGCGUUAUACAAAUGCGAAGAUAUCUCACAGAUUAACAUGAUGAAGACAGAUGCUUAUUUUUCAGCAAGAAAUGACUGGCCAAAGUGUGUGUUUUGCAGGAGAAAUGAUGCAAAGAUGUGCUUCCAGUAAUUCAUUAACUGUUCUCACAAUCCUGAAGCUCAGGUAGAAAAAUGACUUACAUCCACUGUGGUUAGGAAGGAGAUGAAAACACUCAUGUUUUUGUCUAACAAAAUUUAACUGGACAUUAGUGACUACCUAAGAAAAAAAUAGGAAAUAAGAAAGUUUCCUUACUAGUUUUUCUCUUGCUAGUGCUAUUCUGGCACUGAUGAGUCUACAAACCAUUGAUGAAUCUAUUAUCAGGACGUUCCAUUUUGACAAGAGGAACUGACUGGUUUGAUUUUUUUUUUAAUAUUAUUGUUUUUCAGUGAUAUUUUUUUAUUAUUUCAACCUUUAGAGUAAUAUACAAGCUGAAUAGUACGGGUUAUACUUGUAUAGGUUAUGGCAAUUAUGAAAUUAAUACUGCUGGGAAUUUUUUAUCCCUGUGAAAUUAGGGGUAGGAUAAAGAUUUUUCUUAACAAAAAAUGUUAGUUUUAAAAUGUCUGUUUAGAGAUUCAUCUUACACUAACCAAAAUAUCACUUAAAUAGGAGAGAGAAGUGUGGAAUGAAUGUAUAGGCAAAAAAAUGGAGCGGCGUUGAGCUCAAGGACGCUACAAAAUAAGGCCAAGGCAAAUUAGCAUAGCUGUUUUUGCAGGCUUUGUCUUAGCUUGUAGUAUCACUGGAGGAUAUUGACUGCCGAUAAAAUCAGGGUAGGAAAGCAACGCUUUCAUUAAAAUGUUAUGAAUUUGGAAACAUUCCUUGCUUUUCUCUCUCUCCAGCAUCAAGAAAAUGAUCUAUAUCUCAUCCUGCUUGAAAACCAUUCUACCAGCUGUAAUUACAUGUCACCUUUCUGAAGAUAUCAUAAAUUACUUUUAAUUAAAGCCGGUAUUUUGAUACAGCUCUGCCAUCUCUUCUGGAAAUAGUUUUAAACUUCUUCUAUGCUACCGCCAGUUUUCUACAAUACAGCUUUAGGAGGAGGAAUUUGCCCUGCACUGUUCAAUAGCAACAGGUCUUAAGAGUAUUAAGGAUGAAAUUCUCAAGGGUCUUUAUGUCAUGGAUGGAAAUGGAAUCAUUACUGUAUUUUUGAACGCCUGCUAACGUCAUUGACACCCACCUACAGUCCACUAGAAAUAUAAGUGCAGAGAUCAGUUCAUUCACAGAUCACAAGGAGACUAACCAAGAAGGGGCAAGCCAGAGCUAAAUUCACUGGUAGUCCACUCAUCUCUUCGACAUGUGGAAAGUGGUGCUCCUGGGACUAUAUACAAUGUUGGCUGUCAGAGGAUUGGCAAAGGGUGCUCCUUUCGAACCAGAAGAAAAAUGGAAACCUCUAGAUAAUCCUAGAAAAAUACGUUCAGUUUUUCAGAACGCUCCAGGCGUACUUUUCGGGCCGGGGUCUCGAUCUCAGAAAUUUCCCAGCUACUUUCACUGUGAACAAUGAAGGACCAAGGCCGGUCACGUUGUACUCAGAUCCCAUUGCUUCUGCGUUUGCAGAUUAUGAGGAAAGGAAAAAUUCUUUUCCAAAUGACUUCAGAGGCUAAAAGAUGCUGCUGACCAAGGUAAAAGAGGAUGCUUUUUCAUGUAAGCCAGUGAAAUCUGUGGAUUUCAAGCAAUUCUCAAUUGCAUCUGAAGUAUAAAAACAACUUGUUCUUCGGACAAAAUAAAGUAUGACACCUUAAC